AUUGAACGCUGGCGGCAGGCCUAACACAUGCAAGUCGAGCGGAGCGGCGGACGGGCGAGUAAUGCCUAGGAAUCUGCCUGGUAGUGGGGGAUAACGUCCGGAAACGGGCGCUAAUACCGCAUACUAUCAGAUGAGACUAGGUCGGAUUAGCUAGUUGGUGGGGUAAAGGCCUACCAAGGUGACGAUCCGUAACUGGUCUGAGAGGAUGAUCAGUCACUCUGGGACUGUGACACGGUCCAGACUCCUAAAGAAGGCAGGAGUGGGGAAUAGUGGAAAAUGGGCAAAAGCCGGCUCCAACCAUGCCGCGUGGGUGAAGAAGGUCUUCGGAUUGUAAAGCACUUUAAGUUGGGAGGCGUUACCAGCAGAAUAAGCACCGGCUAACUUCGUGCCAGCAGCCGCGGUAAUAC
rnacentral:rRNA from 1 species